rnacentral:rRNA from 1 species
GGCGGCCUACGGGGCGCAGCAGUGGGGGAUAUUGCAUAAUGGGGGGAACCCUGAUGCAGCGACGCCGCGUGGGUGAAGAAGCGCCCCGGCGCGGAAGGCCCUGUCAGCAGGGAAGAAGAAGGACGGUACCUGACCAAGAAGCCCCGGCUAACUACGUGCCAGCAGCCGCGGGAAUACGUAGGGGGCAAGCGUUAUCCGGAUUUACUGGGUGUAGAGGGGGCGCAGCCGGCGAUGCAAGCCAGGAGUGAAAGCCCGGGGCCCAACCCCGGGACUGCUCUUGGAACUGCGUGGCUGGAGUGCAGGGG